GAUGAACGCUGGCGGCGUGCCUAAUACAUGCAAGUCGAGCGAACAGACGAGGAGCUUGCUCCUCUGACGUUAGCGGCGGACGGGUGAGUAACACGUGGAUAACCUACCUAUAAGACUGGGAUAACUUCGGGAAACCGGAGCUAAUACCGGAUAAUAUAUUGAACCGCAUGGUUCAAUAGUGAAAGACGGUUUUGCUGUCACUUAUAGAUGGAUCCGCGCCGCAUUAGCUAGUUGGUAAGGUAACGGCUUACCAAGGCGACGAUGCGUAGCCGACCUGAGAGGGUGAUCGGCCACACUGGAACUGAGACACGGUCCAGACUCCUACGGGAGGCAGCAGUAGGGAAUCUUCCGCAAUGGGCGAAAGCCUGACGGAGCAACGCCGCGUGAGUGAUGAAGGUCUUCGGAUCGUAAAACGCUGUUAUUAGGGAAGAACAAAUGUGUAAGUAACGAUGCACGUCUUGACGGGACCUAAUCAGAAAGCCACGGCGAACUACGU
rnacentral:rRNA from 1 species